ensembl:lncRNA
AGUGGGGCCAUUAUCCCAGUCUCUAAUGUAGCCCAGUGGGGCCAUUAUCCCAGUCUCUAAGGUAGCCCAGUGGGGCCAUUAUCCCAGUCUCUAAUGUAGCCCAGUGGUGCCAUUAUCCCAGUCUCGAAUGUAGCCCAGUGGGGCCAUUAUCCCAGUCUCUAAUGUAGCCCAGUGGGGCCAUUAUCCCAGUCUCUAAUGUAGCCCAGUGGGGCCAUUAUCCCAGUCUCUAAUGUAGCCCAUUGGGGCCAUUAUCCCAGUCUGUAAGGUAGCCCAGUGGGGCCAUUAUCCCAGUCUCUAAUGUAGCCCAGUGGGGCCAUUAUCCCUGUCUCUAAUGUAGCCCAGUGGGGCCAUUAUCCCAAUCUCUAAGGUAGCCCAGUGGGGCCAUUAUCCCAGUCUCGAAUGUAGCCCAGUGGGGCCAUUAUCCCAGUCUCUAAUGUAGCCCAGUGGUGCCAUUAUCCCAGUCUGUAAGGUAGCCCAGUGGGGCCAUUAUCCCAGUCUCUAAUGUAGCCCAGUGGUGCCAUUAUCCCAGUCUGUAAGGUAGCCCAGUGGGGCCAUUAUCCCAGUCUCUAAGGUAGCCUAGGUGAUAUGCUGCUAUUUAUUUUCUAUUAUGCGAGUUUAAUGUGAUUUUCCAAUUAUACAACAGCAUGUGGGGAAGCAACUGAGGUAAAGGACUUAUUGGUUAAAUAUGAUUGAGUUGUAGAUUCCAGAGUAAUUCUUUACGCUCACAAAUAGAGCAUGGUUUACUGAUAAUAAUGGUAUAAUAAUGAUUCAAUGUGAUAAUGGUGAUAAUGGUAUAAUAAUGAUUCAAUGUGAUAAUGGUGAUAAUGGUAUAAUAAUGAUUCAAUGUGAUAAUGGUACAAUAAUGAUUCAAUGUCAUAAUGGUAUAAUAAUGAUUCAAUGUGAUAAUGGUGAUAAUGGUAUAAUAAUGAUUCAAUGUGAUAAUGGUAUAAUAAUGAUUCAAUGUGAUAAUGGUGAUAAUGGUAUAAUAAUGAUUCAAUGCGAUAAUGGUGAUAAUGGUCCAAUAAUGAUUCAAUGUGAUAAUGGUGCUAAUGGUAUAAUAAUGAUUCAAUGUGAUAAUGGUGAUAAUGGUAUAAUAAUGAUUCAAUGUGAUAAUGGUAUAAUAAUGAUUCAAUGUGAUAAUGGUGAUAAUGGUAUAAUAAUGAUUCAAUGUGAUAAUGGUAUAAUAAUGAUUCAAUGUGAUAAUGGUGAUAAUGGUAUAAUAAUGAUUCAAUGUGAUAAUGGUGAUAAUGGUCCAAUAAUGAUUCAAUGUGAUAACGGUGAUAACGGUAUAAUAAUGAUUCAAUGUGAUAACGGUGAUAAUGGUAUAAUAAUGAUUCAAUGUGAUAAUGAUGCUAAUGGUAUAAUAAUGAUUCGAUGUGAUAAUGGUGAUAAUGGUAUAAUAAUGAUUCUAUCUAAUGAUGGUUGAGGUAUGGAUGAUUGUCCACAACACAUUUCUCCUUCCUCCCCUAGCAGUCGAUCACUCUGUUCAUGGAAGAACCAAUCAUUAUGCCUCAGUAAAAGGGUAGCUUUUAGGACUUAAGAGGUCAUAGUACCAUUAGUUAUACACAUGUCCUUCGUCCACCCUUUUACUAUGCUGCACUACACCAAGGUAAAAAGCCAUGACCAGUAUUGAUUUGUGUUCAUCAGUGUUUGUAGUUGUUCUGUUAUGAACCUUAUUAACCAAGAUUUCCUAACCCUAUCCAAGACAUUAAUGAAACAGCCACUGGUAAACGUAUAUCAUCACAACUCCCAUUUAGUUAAAAAUAUAUAUAUAUGUUUUAUUCUUGUUUUGUCCUGUUUGGCAUUCUGAAUGUAUUUAGGCGUUCUUGUUGCAGUCUUUCUCAAGUCUCUGUGACCUUUUAGCAGUGAUAAUCCUCCAUGAGUAUAAUGCACCAUGCAGCUGUUCCCCUCUGCUCUGACUGAUGAUUUGACUUGUAUGACAGCCUGCUGGCGCUCUUUGAUGAUGUGUGCCCACGCGUAGGGUUGCAGGGGAGCCUUGUCAGCCGUUUACUUGGCUCACGGAGAGGAGUGUGACUCCUGACUCCUUAGAUAACAGCAUGACAAAAAAACAGAACAAAUAGAACCUACUAGAACUUCGGUUAUGUCAACAGUCAAUCCCAUCACUUGAAGCACACAGGAGGUUUGAGAUUCACCCUCUGAAGAAAAACCUAGUGUCAAAGAUCAAUAGUAAGAAGUUCCCUCGCAGGGGUAUUUUUCCUGUUCUUUGAGAUGGGAGAGAUUAUAGCUCUAUCAUAGUAUUUUACCUCUUUUAUUUGUUUUACACAGAUGGAUUUCCUUGGCAGAAAUCUAUUACAGUAUACUCCCUUCCCACUCUAUCUCACUAUCUCUCUCUCUCUCUUUCUGCAUGCUGGGAGUGUUUGGUGCAUGCUGGGAAUUGUAAGUGAUAAUGCCCGAGAAGCUGCAGGGGGCAUUAUCACUU